rnacentral:rRNA from 1 species
GAUGAACGCUGGCGGCGUACCUAACACAUGCAAGUCGAACGAACCUGAUCUUCGGAAAAGGUUAGUGGCGCACGGGUGAGUAACACGUAGGUGACCUGCCCUGGAGUGGGGGAUAACUUCUCGAAAGAGAGGCUAAUACCGCAUACGCUCGGCCAGUCAGUUGGCCGAGUAAAGCUCCGGCGCUCCAGGAGGGGCCUGCGUCCGAUUAGCUAGUUGGUGCGGUAGUGGCUCACCAAGGCGAUGAUCGGUAGCUGGUCUGAGAGGACGAUCAGCCACACUGGCACUGACACACGGGCCAGACUCCUACGGGAGGCAGCAGUGAGGAAUAUUGGUCAAUGGGCGAAAGCCUGAACCAGCAACGCCGCGUGAGGGAUGAAGGCCUUCGGGUCGUAAACCUCUUUUCUGGGAGAAGAGACAAGGACGGUAUCCCAGGAAUAAGUCUCGGCUAACUACGUGCCAGCAGCCGCCGUAAAAC